GAAAGGGCUCAACAAGCAGAAUACAAUAUACUAUAAAAAAUUGAAAUCCAAGAUGGCGGCCGCUACAAAAUGGCGGAUAACGUAGGUUUUAUCGAUUCCAUCAAUAUGGGUAUCAAAUGAAAGUGCUCAACCAGUAUAAUCAAUGUACUAUAUAAAAUUAAAAUCCAAGAUGGCGGCCUCUACAAAAUGGCGGAUAACUUAGGUUUUAUCGAUCCCAUCAAUAUGGGUAUCAAAUGAAAGUGCUCAACCAGUAUAAUCAAUGUACUAUAUAAAAUUAAAAUCCAAGAUGGCGGCCUCUACAAAAUGGCGGAUAACUUAGGUUUUAUCGAUCCCAUCAAUAUGGGUAUCAAAUGAAAGUGCUCAACCAGUAUAAUC
rnacentral:misc_RNA from 1 species